UUUGAGACUUCCAGAAAUAACUAAGCAAGACUUUGAAGGAGCCUGGAGUCCUGCAUUGGCAGAUUGGGGAAGAGAGGCAUCUAGAGGUAUCUACAGCCACCAGCCCUCUAGUGACAAAGCGAGAACCUCAGACUCAAGUCUCCAACAUUCCAGUCUGUGCCUUCUUCAUGUUCUUGGGCAGCUUUGUUCAAGCAUCUAUAAUGGCUUCCUAUUUCUAACUGUACCAAAUUAAAAUGUUCUGGUCUGGCA